CUGACCCUCCAUGUUAUGUCUAUCAAAUUGAGUUCUAUGUUUCAUAUCAAGAUCACUUUGAAUGGAGACACUGAUGGUGGUUGUUUUCCUAAGUGCACCCACUCAAAGUGACCUUACAUGUGAGUUUACAGCAAUUAGACACUUUGAAGCAAACUUGAGAUAACACGGUUCACUUACAGAAAAUCUCAAGUAGAGACCCCUCAAAUGAAAAAAGUUGUGGUUUUCCUCUUUACUUAGUGCUCCUAUUUGGGGAAUUCUUUUUUUUUUUUUGAAUAGUUCAGGGAAUCGUUGAUUUAUGUGUUAAUAAGAUGCCUCUGAUUGAAACCGCACAAAACCUUCCAAAAGCUACUGGAGACAAAAGAGCAAACCAAAAUACAAUGGGCCGCUACUACAGUCAUAGCCAACCAUUGGUUUCAUGACUGAAUGUCCUUGACUUAAAUGUGGAUGGAACUGCAAGAGGAGUCUUGAGUUCAUAUAAAAGGAGACUCAUGUCCAGGUAUCCCUCAUGGAUUUGGAAACACAGACAACACAGGAUAUUCCAAAAGAACUUCCGGACUCACUGGUAAGGAAGAGCAUUCAUUACAAGUCUGUAUUAUUGAUCCAACUCAUGCAAGAACUUGUCUCUUGAAUUCAGUAAGUGCAUUUGCUUGGACCAGUUGUACGGAACAACUGCUACAAAUUCUACCUGACCCUCCAUGUUAUGUCUAUCAAAUUGAGUUCUAUGUUUCAUAUCAAGAUCACUUUGAAUGGAGACACUGAUGGUGGUUGUUUUCCUAAGUGCACCCACUCAAAGUGACUUUACAUGUGAGUUUACAGCAAUUAGACACUUUGAAGCAAACUUUAGAUAACACGGUUCACUUACAGAAAAUCUCAAGUAGAGACCCCUCAAAUGAAAACACUUGUGGUUUUCCUCUUUACUUAGUGCUCCUAUUUGGGGAAUUCUUUUUUUUUUUUUUUUGAAUAGUUCAGGGAAUCGUUGAUUUAUGUGUUAAUAAGAUGCCUCUGAUUGAAACCGCACAAAUCCUUCCAACAGCUACUGGAGACAAAAGAGGAAAACAAAAUACAGUGGGGUGCUACGACAGUCGUUAGUCAACCAUUAGUCUCAUGAUUGAAUCUCGUUGAUUUAAAUGUGGAUGGAGCAAGAGGAGUCUUGAGUUCAUAUAAAAGGAGACUCAUGUCCAGGUAUCCCUCAUGGAUUUGGAAACACAGACAACACAGGAUAUUCCAAAAGAACUUCCGGACUCACUGGUAAGGAAGAGCAUUCAUUACAAGUCUGUAUUGUUGGUCCAACUCAUGCAAGAACUUGUCUCUUGAAUUCAGUAAGUGCUUGGACCAGUUGUACACAACAACUGCUACAAAUUCU
ensembl:lncRNA